GAAGAGCACUCCUGCUCGCUCUGAGAAUGCCUGGGCUUAUAAAAUAUGCAUUAGACAGGCACCAUCUUCCACUCCUCUCCAUCUACAGCUAUUGGGUUUAACAUGUGCUUUUCCUUCCCUGAAAAGGUUGUCUUACUUCAAGAUGUGACAUAUCUAUCCUCUGGGCCCCUGGACCCUGGGCAGGCCUAAUGAAACUUCGUCUUCUCCAGAGCACGAGGGCAUGCAGUUGCACAAGGAGCCACUGACCGUAGCCGCCAUGUCCCAAAGCCGCAAAGCCACUUCCUUAAGUGCACGAUUUGGUUCCUUGCCAUCUCAGCCACUCGCACAUCCUCAAGCCCCCCAGCAGCCUAGAAAUGACACCAGACCAACAAGCCUGCCUAGCAGCAAACCCCAACCUAGGGAAGAGGCUGUCAGAGGUCUUAUUCAUGGAGGUGGCCUGGACCAGAACUGGUAAAGAGGUG
rnacentral:lncRNA from 1 species